CCGCAGCGGCCGAGCUGUGGCUACGUGCUGUGCACCGUGCUACUGUCCCUGGCCGUGCUGCUGGCUGUGGCUGUCACCGGCGCCGUGCUCUUCCUGAACCACGCCCACACGCCUGGCACGGCGCCCCCGCCCAUCGUCAGCACUGGGUCGGCCGGUGCCAACAGCGCCCUGGUCACCGUGGACAGGGCCGACAGCUCGCGCCUCAGCAUCCUCAUCGACCCGCGCUGCCCAGACCUCACCGACGGUUUCGCCCGCCUGGAGGGCGCCCAGGCCUCCGUGCUGCAGGCACUGAGCCAGCGCCAGGCUGAGCCUGGGCUGGUGGGCGAACAAGAGCAGGAGCUGCUGGACACCCUGGCUGACCAGCCCCCCCGGCUGCUGGCCCGGGCCUCGGAGCUGCAGACAGAGUGUGCGGGGCUGCGGAAGGGGCACAGCACGCUGGGCCAGGGGCUCAGUUCCCUGCAGAGCGAGCAGGGCCGCCUCAUCCAGCUGCUCUCUGAGAGCCAAGGCCACAUGGUUCACCUGGUGAACUCCGUCAGUGAUGUCCUGGACGCUCUGCAGAGGGACCGGGGGCUGGGCCGGCCCCACGUCAAGGCUGAUCUUCAGAGGGCACCUGCCAGGGGGUCGAGACCCCGGGGCUGUGCCAAUGGCUCCCGGCCCCGAGACUGUCUGGACGUCCUCCUGAGCGGCCAGCAGGAGGACGGUGUUUACUCCGUCUUCCCCACACACGACCCCGCCGGCUUCCAGGUCUACUGCGACAUGAGCACCGACGGCGGCGGCUGGACGGUGUUCCAGCGCCGGGAGGACGGCUCCGUGAACUUCUUCCGAGGCUGGGAGGCGUACCGGGACGGCUUCGGCAAGCUCACGGGGGAGCACUGGCUAGGUCUCAAGAGGCUCCAUGCCCUGACCACACAGGCGGCCUAUGAGCUGCACGUGGAUCUGGAGGACUUUGACAAUGGCACAGCCUACGCCCACUACAGGAGCUUUGGUGUGGGUUUGUUCUCCGUGGACCCUGAGGAAGACGGGUACCCGCUCACCGUGGCCGACUACUCGGGCACUGCAGGGGACUCCCUUCUGAAGCACAGUGGCAUGAGGUUCACUACCAAGGACCGCGACAGUGACCAUUCGGAGAACAACUGCGCCGCCUUCUACCGUGGGGCCUGGUGGUACCGCAACUGCCACACAUCCAACCUCAACGGGCAGUACCUGCGCGGUGCGCACGCCUCUUACGCCGACGGCGUCGAGUGGUCCUCCUGGACUGGCUGGCAGUACUCGCUCAAGUUCUCCGAGAUGAAGAUCCGGCCGGUCCGUGAGGACCGCUAGACGGCGCCCCGUCCGGCCCCGCCCACAGCCCCGCCCCUCACCGUCAGUCCCCUGCCACCCCCACCCACCGUCCCCACGCCCACCUCCAAUUCCGCUUCUGCUCAGAUGCCCGCCUGCCGGCACAGGACUGACCCUCUCUGGCGAUGGGGUGGGUCCAGACAACCCCUGCACCAAGCACCCCCUGAACAAGUGAGGCCGCCCAUCACCGUCACUCUGUCCAGCCCCCGUGCCUCUGCUGAUGGGCGGCAGGGCAGUUCUGACCACCCCAAAUUCUACCUGCCCAGUCUUUGGCUCCUGGGCUGUGUUUACCCUCCCUGGGCCACGAGCCUGCCAUGUGCCCCUGGCAGCCCCUCUGCUCUGCCAGUCCAAACACCUGGAGCAACGGGCACACAGAGGAGAGAGGCACAUGGCACCCCUGGAGCCCUUUAGCAGACCUUUCUGAGUCGGGCCUGAGCCCCCAACCCCCUCUAACGCCGGGAGGUCCCACCCCUCUUCCAGGGACUGUGGACGGGCUGGUGCUCAGGCCUGCCUGUGGCCAGGACCUGGGUGGUCCCAUCCUACCACGCCCCUAGGUCAGGCUGGGGUGCAGCUGCCUUCGGGAAGUCACACCCCGAGGUGACCGAGACCAGUUCCCUGGAGCCCUUCCUACCCAUCCACCCGUGUCUCUGCAGGUCCGGGAGGUCCCCAGUCCCCUUGGCUGCAACACCCCGCCUCCCGCCUUCUCAGGGCAGCUGGAGACCCACCCCACCCCCUUCUCCGGCCUGUGGGAAGUCCGGGCAGGUCCUGCACCCUUGGUCUGGGCUGGGCCCAUGCAGACCUCUUGGUUUUCUGGGCUUCGGUGGGGCCUGUACCACCCCCUACUCCGGGAUCCUGGGCACUCCUAGGGGCUGGCCCAGAGGAGCUAGAGGCUGUUGGCUCGGAAACUGCUGUCUCAUGGGGAGGCCGCCCCCUGCUGGUGAUUGUGGGUGUUGCCGCCUCGGGUCACUGGGCAAAUGGGGGAGGCGGAGGCCCCCACUGGGAACUCAGAGACAUCUUCCACUGAGCCCUCUCAAUGCCCAGUGUCCUAUGACUGCACUCCCCCCAGCCCCGCAAGGACCAUGGGUUCCCAAGGUCAGUGCCAGGAAGGGCAGGACUGGGACUCCAGCCUUCAACCCCCUGCCCAACAGCCUUGGGGCUCUUUUUCCAAAUUCCCGCCUGUCGGGACCUGAGGGGGCCAUUUAGAGGGCCAGGAAGUCAACCUGCAGAGCUGCUCAGAGAGUGGGCAGUCCAGCGAAACCCCUCCUCAGGCAGGGGUGGUUCCUUUUUAGGGCACUUGAAGGCAGUUCUCAAGGCACUUCAGCUCUCCCUACCCCCGCCCCCCACCGAGGCUUGUGCUUCAUUAAUAAUACAUCGGAGUUGGCUGGGACAGUGGGAAAGGCCCCUGGUGCCACUGACUGGCCAUGCGCCCUGGCCGGCCCCAGUUCCACCUGGUCGUCGGUGCUCAGCAAGAUUUGCUGGACAUCGGCUGUGGGCCAAGGCUGUCGUCUCUGGGUGCUGGACCAGACCCAGCCCCUGCCCUCUAGGCACGCAGCUGGACUCAGGGACAGCCAAGAAGCAGGUGAUUCCAGGCCAGUGUGACCAGGGUAGUGAGGGGGGUGGCACAGGUGCAAGCGGGGUGGGGGCAGCGUGGCAGAGGUGUGUGAGACGAUCACACGCACCCCCCCACCCCACUGGCCCCUUUCCCAUCCUCAAGAAACCAAAAGAGCCCGUCCCCCCCGCCCCGGGGUUCCUGGGACCCCCAGCCAAGAAGCAGAGUCUGCGUGGGGCCUUAGCCAUCAUCCCCCGGGGCCCCCUCCUCCUCCAGCUCCAGGCUGGGGCCAGUUUCUGCUGCCAGCCUCGAAGUGCCAGCCACUGUUUAGAAAGUGCCAAGAGCUUUCUGAUCUGUCAUCAAACAAACUCCUGGUGCGCGUGAUGUUAAUUCACAGAUGUGCGUGUGUGUCAGGAGGCUCAGGGGCGCUCGUGCCAGGGCUUGGCCGAGGAACAGACACGCCACAGCUUGGGCCUGGUGGGGGGGCUGGGCCAGGGCGGCUUUCAGGAGCGUCUGGCUGACCUGGAGACACUGGUUCCUUCCUGCUGGAGAGCACCAGCCCCACUCCCAGCCCAGGCCUGGCACCACUAGGGGACACUGCCAGACCACACGCUGGCUGAAUGGGCACAAAGCCCAUCACAGCGGACAGCCAAGGCCAGUCCACCCUCCUUCCUAAAGGGCACACCGGCUCUGGGCCAGGAGGCUGAGGUGAGCGAGACAGGCCUGGGCUCUGGCGUCGAGGAGCCCACCGUGUGAUGUCAGCGCAGAGGAGUGAGCGCAGAAGGAAGGGGUGCUGGGAGAGCCAGUGAGGGGACGCCGAGACCUGACAGAUGCAUGCGAAGCUCACCCAGGACCCAUGGUUCCUGCACCCAAACCCUGAUGCACAAUGCCCAAGUUGAUGGCCAUGGUGGGGUACCUGUGACCCAGCUACCCCACUUGACCUCACCCCCUUUUCCUUCCUUCUCCCCCGAGACAGCCAAGCAGGGGAGUGGGCGGGCUCUCCACACUGGGGCCUGGAGACAACGUGGACCCCCUAAAGCUUCUGAACAUUCCUUCCAGCAAGCACAGUUGGGUUCCGUGCAGUCAGCCACUGGCCUCACUCCUGGCCCCUCAAACUCUGGAUACAUCUCUGGGACACCACCAGGGGGCCGCCUCGAGCCCAGAGGAUGGACGGACCCUGGCUGUACCCCCCGCAACGGCCUCCACACCCACAGUGUGUGGGAGAACCGCAGCCUGUUCUCAAGUGGCGUUUCCCCCUGCUGCCGUAUGUACAUAGGUGUCAUUAUACUGUUUGUCUUGGGGCAGAAGCCAUGUCAGUGUCACCAGUGCCCACCUUCCCCCCAUCCCCACGGGCACCCACGCAGGCCUCUGGCCAUCCUGGCUGGGGCUGGAGCCCUGGACGCUGGGGGCCCCCGCACCCAGGAUUCAGGGGAUUGGGAAGGUGCCAGGAACCACCCGUGGCAUCUGCUCCAGCAGAAGGGGGGCAGGUGGGGAGACCAGAGGGGCUGGGGCCCCGUCAGCGCAGACCUCUUACCUGGGGCAUCUGGGGAGCAGCGUUCCAAGGGAAGACAGGUGGGGGGACGCACAGGAUGGAGGGCGCUGGCCGGGGCAGAGGGCUCUUCCCAGCCCCAAGGGGGCCGAGCAGCUGGCAGGACUUGGCAACCCGGAGGGCUGACGCUGGACCUCGGUGGGUUUGGGGGAGACGGGGAGGGGGCUGGGCCCUGACCUGAGGCUGGCCACCUGAGCCCUGCUGUGCUGUCCACACCAGCUGGUGGUGGGGGCUGGGGGCACCGGGGGCCAGGGAGGGAGCUGGCAGCUUAUGACUGAGAGUGUGGCACGGGACAGGUGCUCGUGUGGCCGGUGUGUGUGGGGCCUCGUCGUGUGUGUUCUGCCUCCAAUAAAAAGUUUCAUGGUGACC
ensembl:lncRNA